AUGGCGGUGAUAGUGGACUUGGUUAGCGAUGAUGAUGUGUUCGAAUUGGACGAGGGCAAUGAUGGUCAGGUUGGGGUCUCGUCUUAUCCAGCCCGGAGAAACGCGGAUGCUCCUGGCCCGUCCAGGCUGGUGAGGCAGGACGCUGAUGGGAUGGCCAACGGGGCAACUCCUUCUGCCUCGUUAGUUGGGAUGUAUGUAGAAAUGGGUUUCCCGAAAGAGAUGGUAUUGAAGGCCAUCAAAGAGAUUGGGAAGAGGGACGAAAGUGCAGUGCUGUCACUACUUCUUGCAUAUACGGAAGAUGACGACUCAGUGGGUAGCUGCUCUACUUCUCGCCGCAUCCCCCAGCGUGUUGAAGAUGAUGAUGAUGAUGAUGAAGAAGAAGAUGAUGAUUUUGAUUUUGAAGACUGGGAUGAUGAUGUUGAUGCUGGCCAAAGGGAUCCUCACUCUGAUGGUUCUGGUGAUGAGGAGUUCCUACAAGAGAUGUCACAGUUGGACAAGCAAAUCAAGUCCUUAGUGGACAUGGGAUUUCCUGAAGAUGAAGCAAACAGAGCUCUUAGAAGAUGUGGUCUGGAUACCCCUAUGCAUGUACUGGUUGAUUCUAUCUAUGCAUCACAGCAUGACCCUGAGGUUAUGGAUGAGAAUCGCUUCAGUUCCUGUGUGGGGAGAAAGAAAGCAAGGUUCACAGAAGAUAGCAAGAAGAGGAAAAGAUACGGAGGUGGAGCACAUGGAAGUCAACCCCCAUGGGAUGGUGGUCAUGAAGAGUCAAUUUCUCUGCCAAAGCCAAUGGUGGGAUUUGGCCUACCUGGUGACCGACCACGGUCAGUGGGCAGAUGGCUUCCUGCACAUAGUAUGAGAGCACCUUUCUUCUAUUAUGAGAAUGUGGCACUUGCUACUAAAGGUGCCUGGGCAGAAAUUUCAAGAUCCCUAUAUGGUAUUGAGCCAGAGUUCGUAGACUCGAAGUACUUCUGCGCAGCGUUAAGGAAACGGGGUUACAUCCAUAACCUCCCAACUGAGGGAAGGUCAGUUUUGCGUCCCAUCCCUCCGAAGACCAUUUUCGAGGCCUUCCCCCAGUACGAGACGUGGUGGCCCUCGUGGGACCAAAGAAGGCAGCUCAAUUGCCUACAAACUUGUAUGGCAAGCGCAAAGCUGACUGAACGGAUCCACCGUGCUCUUGCAAACUCGACCGAUCCACCAACUCAAGCUGUUCAGAAACGUGUGCUGGAAGAGUGCAGGAAGUGGAAUUUGGUAUGGAUCGGGAAAAACAAAGUUGCUGCAUUGGAUUAUCUGGAAAUGGAGUUUCUGCUUGGUUAUCCAAGGGACCAUACCAGGGGAGCCAGCAAGAAAAAGAGAGACAAAUGCCUUGGAAAUUCAUUCCAAGUCGAUACUGUUGCUUUUCAUCUGUCAGUGCUGAAGGAUAGGUUUCCAUGUGGUAUGAACGUGCUGUCCCUAUUCAGUGGUAUCGGAGGAGCAGAGGUUGCCCUUCACAAGCUUGGCAUACGGAUGAAGACCGUGGUUUCUGUGGAAAUCUGCGAAGCGAGUAGGAACAUCUUGAGAACUUGGUGGGAUCAGACUCAGGAUGGCACUCUGAUAGAGUUUCGUGAUGUGCAGUCUCUCACGCAUGAAAAAAUCGCAUCACUUAUCAGACAACUUGGUGGCUUUGACUUGGUGAUCGGGGGAAGCCCAUGUAACAACCUUGCCGGCAGCAACCGGCACCACCGUGUUGGCUUGGAGGGCGACCAGUCUGUGUUGUUUCGUGACUAUGUUAGAAUCUUGAACUCUAUCAAGUCGAUUAUGGCGAAUGUAGGAUGA
rnacentral:rRNA from 1 species